UACGUAGGGUGCAAGCGUUAAUCGGAAUUACUGGGCGUAAAGCGUGCGCAGGCGGCUUUGCAAGACAGAGGUGAAAUCCCCGGGCUCAACCUGGAAACUGCCUUUGUGACUGCAAGGCUAGAGUACGGCAGAGGGGGAUGGAAUUCCGCGUGUAGCAGUGAAACGCGUGGAUAUGCGGAGGAACACCGAUGGCGAAGGCAAUCCCCUGGGCCGGAACUGACGCUGAGGAGCGAAAGCGUGGGGAGCAAACAGGAUUAGAAACCCUUGUAGU
rnacentral:rRNA from 1 species